AAGCAUAUCAAUAAGCGGAGGAAAAGAAACCAACAGGGAUUGCCCUAGUAACGGCGAGUGAAGCGGCAACAGCUCAAAUUUGAAAUCUGGCCUUCGGGUCCGAGUUGUAAUUUGUAGAGGAUGCUUUUGGCGCGGUGCCUUCCGAGUUCCCUGGAACGGGACGCCUUAGAGGGUGAGAGCCCCGUACGGUUGGACACCAAGCCUCUGUAAAGCUCCUUCGACGAGUCGAGUAGUUUGGGAAUGCUGCUCUAAAUGGGAGGUAAAUUUCUUCUAAAGCUAAAUACCGGCCAGAGACCGAUAGCGCACAAGUAGAGUGAUCGAAAGAUGAAAAGCACUUUGAAAAGAGGGUUAAAUAGCACGUGAAAUUGUUGAAAGGGAAGCGUUUACGGCCAGACCUUUUCCUGGCGGAUCAUCUGGUGUUCUCACCAGUGCACUCCGCCAGGUUUAGGCCAGCAUCGGCUCCCGUAGGGGGAUAAAAGCAGUGGGAAAGUAGCUCCCUCGGGAGUGUUAUAGCCCGCUGCACAAUACCCUUACAGGGGCCGAGGACCGCGCUUUUGCAAGGAUGCUGGCGUAAUGGUCGUCAACGACCCGUCUGAA
rnacentral:rRNA from 1 species